rnacentral:lncRNA from 1 species
UUCAUUUGUUCUUCAUCUCCCUCACACACACCAGGCUUCUUAUUAUUAGUCUCCGGUACGUCCGCCAUGGAGUAAGAUCGUAACGCGUGAGGGUUUUGAACUGUCUCACCAGUGCUUUCUGUUGAUUCUCCGGCCGUAUCGCCGUCGCCGCCGUCUAUUGAGGAACAGAUUCCGGGCAGAGGUCUGUGAACCGAGGUGGUGGAAUGGAUUCCAUUUUAAAGGAUCAUACACACUAGGAUUCACGAUAAGGCGGGUUUAGAUCACAAUGAACAGUGGUAAUGAGAAUUACCAACAACAGAAUUCUUUUGGAUGGUAGGUUUAUAAUUUCAUCAAUCUUCAAACCAUUUAUGGGUUUUUAAUUCUCCAAAUAACGAACCCUUUUCACACUUCGAACAAUCUCCAAUACCCUUUUACAUAUUCCCCCUGAUUCCUAACACAAAUCGUUAAUUUCUCAUGUCAAGAUUCAUCAAAGAUUUUUACUUUCCCCUAUUCUAUAUCUAACAAUGUGGUUGUUGAUGCAACAAAUGCAAGACCAACGGUAGUAGCUGGGUUGGUUAGGCAAGAGGGUGGUUCAACCUUGCCUAACGUAGGUCGCGGGGUCCCCCUGUCACACCCCGACCACGUUAAAACAACAAACCGUGGCGGAAACGUCGGGGAGUGUUGCAACAGAAUUAUUGUUUCACAACCAUGAUCACUAAGGCCUCGUCCAGGUCCUAUGUGACGCAAACUUCCUAGCAAGCAACAUCAAGCAAUAUCUCCUGAAACAUAUGUAAAAAAAUAAAGUCAGCAAAGAAAUGCUGGCGAGUACAUAGGUUUUGUGGGAGUAUUGGAUUCAUGGCUCGUUUAUAUGUUGCAGUACCUCGUUAGACUACAAGAGUCAAAAAUACAAACCUCGUUUUGAAAAGUGUAUUGCAACAUAAUUAACCAACUCAAAUCAAAUUGGUUAUAGUUUAUAAAAUCUCGUAGCCAUGAGUCUUAACCCAAAAACAUUUGUUUUAGUAAAAUAAUUUGGAAAUAUCUCGUAAAAGCUCGUAAAUAAAACUCGUAUGGUUUAUAUCGUUUCAAAAACCUCGUUGUGUGACAUCGUUUCAAAAUCGUUUCCCUAAGUGAACUAAAUAAUGACACGCAAUGUAAUAUGAUAGAAGCACUUAAAUAUAAGAUGUACCAGCGGCGUAUCUACCAUGAUUCUAUCAUACUACACCCGUCCCAUUAUCUAAUCACUACCCAAAACCAAUCGUUUUAAUUCGUUUAACUCGUUUCAAAUCGUGUAUCUCGUUUCAAAUCGUUUAACUCGUCCCAAAAUCGUAUUCGUUUUAAUAGUGAAAAAUACUUUUGGUCGUCUCGUUAACAACAUUCAAACCUUCGUGACUCGUUUAACUCGUUUCUCGUUUCGUAUUAACAAACCACCAAAGGGUAAGUUAACAAUCAUCAGGUUCGGUCGUUACCUACAUAACCCCCACACAUAACCAUGGGUGUAGUCUGAUAACGGGAUUUGUCAGAUCCUAUGGUACCAUAACCUAAUACUGGUCGGCUUGAUCAGAGCUAAUGAAUGUCAUUCGUUAUGUAAUUACAACCAACAAGUCUUGUUCACCUUAUUGAAAUCGUUAUUAGUUUUGUAUAAACCAUCUUAAUCGUUUUUGAAAUCAUCGUAUAAACCUUGAAAAUCGUUUUGUACAUAUGAUUCACCCCAAAACAAUUGAAAACAGUAAAAUAGGGGAACUAUGUACUCACUUGAGAUUGUAGGGUAUCCUUGAUUUUGUGAACUAUCGAUGCACGGGCAAUCAAGGAAUCAAGUGGUACCUAGUAUCGGAUUGCUAGAUAAAUAAAUCGACACCUAAAUAGGGAGAUAGGAUAGAAUGAGGUUCUAUAAAUCAAAUGAGUAAUUGAACUCAUAUGGUAUGAUUUAAUAGGCCCUACAUUCUGAUUGGAAAGCCUACCUAAGUGCUUUUGACCCGUUUCGACCCAUUAUGGUAACAUAAGCCACUAUAAUGCGUCGUUAGCGUAAAACUAUGUUUGGACGGUAAUCUAUGUGCUAUGCCAAGUCUUACAUGCCCAAUUAUCCCUAAACAUGUUACUAAAUCAGAUUACAAGUCAAAAAUAUGUUCACAUAGUCAAAUUACGGAUUCUAGCUUCAAAAGGGCAUUUUGGUCAUUUCCUAUGGGCAUACAAGCUAACUAGCAAAUGACUAACCGAUCCUACGUGAUCAUAAGGUAUAACCUCAGUGGUUAUUCCCUAUGCAAUUAUGAUCACUAACUAAGCUUGGUCGGAUCCAAAGAUCGACCAAACGGGUCGGGUUCGGAAGUAUAAGCGGUUGUUUCGUCCGCUUAUCUUACGACCCUAAACAAGCACAAACUAAUAGUGUCGAGUUAGACAUGUCAAAACAUGUCUAACCUACUGAUUUGGUAUCAAAACAAAGUGUUUUGAUACCCUAAAGUAGUUCCGUUGCAAAAUGCGUGCUAAAACGCAUUUUGACCGAAACUUUGACUCGACACUAGAACUAGCUAACGUGGUAAUCAGCGGCUAUAAUCAUGAAGGAUUAUAACUAUCGUGAUUACAAUCACGUUUCAAAGUUCAAUUGAACUUUGACUUGACCAAUUGAUGGUCAAAACCGAAAGUCAAACUGUUGGCCAAACGUUUGACUUUCUGCACUAC